rnacentral:rRNA from 1 species
GACGAACGCUGGCGGCGUGCUUAACACAUGCAAGUCGAACGGAAAGGCCCUGCUUUUGUGGGGUGCUCGAGUGGCGAACGGGUGAGUAACACGUGAGUAACCUGCCCUUGACUUUGGGAUAACUUCAGGAAACUGGGGCUAAUACCGGAUAGGAGCUCCUGCUGCAUGGUGGGGGUUGGUAAGUUUCGGCGGUUGGGGAUGGACUCGCGGCUUAUCAGCUUGUUGGUGGGGUAGUGGCUUACCACGGCUUUGACGGGUAGCCGGCCUGAGAGGGUGACCGGCCACAUUGGGACUGAGAUACGGCCCAGACUGCUACGGGAGGCAGCAGUGGGGAAUAUUGCACAAUGGGCGGAAGCGUGAUGCAGCAACGCCGCGUGCGGGAUGACGGGCUUCGGGUUGUAAACAGCUUUCGACUGUGACGAAGCGUGAGUGACGGUAAUGGGUAAAGAAGCACCGGCUAACUACGUG